GCUUGAACGCGUCUUUUAUUUUUCAUUGCACGCUCCUAUGUGGUUUAUGCCACAAAGAAUGUCAUGUCAAAAAAAGAAUUUAAAAAAUUACUUUUUAUUAAGUUAAAUGGCUUAAAUGACGAAAAAAUAACUAGAAGUGCCCACUUUACAAGCCCAGAUAAUUUUUAUUAAUAAAUUCUCAUGUAAUAUUAAUAGAUUAUUGAUAGACAAUUGAAUUAAUUGGGAAG
rnacentral:lncRNA from 1 species